AGAGUUUGAUCCUGGCUCAGGAUGAACGCUAGCGGCAGGCCUAAUACAUGCAAGUCGAGCGGCAAGUUGGGUAGUAAUACUUAACCUAGAGCGGCGCACGGGUGCGUAACGCGUAUGCAACCUACCUUUUACUGGGGGAUAGCCCGGAGAAAUCUGGAUUAAUACCCCAUGGUAUCUACGAAUCGCCUGGUUUGUAGCUUAAAGAUUUAUUGGUAAAAGAUGGGCAUGCGUCUGAUUAGCUAGUUGGCGGGGUAACGGCCCACCAAGGCGACGAUCAGUAGGGGUUCUGAGAGGAAGGUCCCCCACACUGGCACUGAGAUACGGGCCAGACUCCUACGGGAGGCAGCAGUAGGGAAUAUUGGGCAAUGGUCGCAAGACUGACCCAGCCAUGCCGCGUGCAGGAAGACGGCCCUCUGGGUUGUAAACUGCUUUUAUCUGGGAAGAAAAAGUCCAUGCGUGGAAAAUUGCCGGUACCAGAUGAAUAAGCACCGGCUAACUCCGUGCCAGCAGCCGCGGUAAUACGGAGGGUGCAAGCGUUGUCCGGAUUUAUUGGGUUUAAAGGGAGCGUAGGCGGCCUAUUAAGUCAGGGGUGAAAGACGAUGGCUCAACCAUCGCAGUGCCUUUGAUACUGAUGGGCUUGAAUAUAGUUGAGGUAGGCGGAAUGUGACAAGUAGCGGUGAAAUGCAUAGAUAUGUCACAGAACACCGAUUGCGAAGGCAGCUUACUAAGCUAUUAUUGACGCUGAGGCUCGAAAGCGUGGGGAUCAAACAGGAUUAGAUACCCUGGUAGUCCACGCCCUAAACGAUGAUAACUCGAUGUUGGCGAUAUACAGUCAGUGUCGCAGCGAAAGCAUUAAGCACACCGCCUGGGGAGUACGACCGCAAGGUUAAAACUCAAAUGAAUUGACGGGGACCCGCACAAGUAGUGGAGCAUGUGGUUUAAUUCGAAGAUACGCGCAGAACCUUACCAACACUUGACAUGUUCGUCGCGACUCUGAGAGAUCAGAGUUUUCGGUUCGGCCGGACGAAACACAGGUGCUGCAUGGCUGUCGUCAGCUCGUGUCGUGAGAUGUUGGGUUAAGUCCCGCAACGAGCGCAACCCCUACCUUUAGUUGCCACCAUUAAGUUGGGCACUUUAAAGGAACUGCCAGUGAUAAGCUGGAGGAAGGUGGGGAUGACGUCAAGUCCUCAUGGCCCUUACGUGUUGGGCUACACACGUCAUACAAUGGCUGGUACAAAGGGUUGCCAACCCGCGAGGGGGAGCUAAUCCCAUAAAACCAGUCGUAGUCCGGAUCGCAGUCUGCAACUCGACUGCGUGAAGUCGGAAUCGCUAGUAAUCGUGGAUCAGAAUGUCACGGUGAAUACGUUCCCGGGUCUUGUACACACCGCCCGUCACACCAUGGGAGCGGGUCUCGCCAGAAGUAGUUAGCC
rnacentral:rRNA from 1 species